rnacentral:rRNA from 1 species
CCUACGGGUGGCAGCAGUGAGGAAUAUUGGUCAAUGGACGAGAGUCUGAACCAGCCAAGUAGCGUGAAGGAUGACUGCCCUAUGGGUUGUAAACUUCUUUUAUAUGGGAAUAAAAUGUUCCACGUGUGGGAUUUUGUAUGUACCAUAUGAAUAAGUAUCGGCUAACUCCGUGCCAGCAGCCGCGGUAAUACGGAGGAUCCGAGCGUUAUCCGGAUUUAUUGGGUUUAAAGGGAGCGUAGGUGGAUUGUUAAGUCAGUUGUGAAAGUUUGCGGCUCAACCGUAAAAUUGCAGUUGAAACUGGCAGUCUUGAGUACAGUAGAGGUGGGCGGAAGUCGUGGUGUAGCGGUGAAAUGCUUAGAUAUCACGAAGAACUCCGAUUGCGAAGGCAGUUCACUGGACUGCAACUGACACUGAGGCUCGAAAGUGUGGGUAUCAAACAGGAUUAGAUACCCGAGUAGUC